rnacentral:rRNA from 1 species
AGUGAACGCUGGCGGUAGGCCUAACACAUGCAAGUCGAACGGCAGCACAGUAAGAGCUUGCUCUUACGGGUGGCGAGUGGCGGACGGGUGAGGAAUACAUCGGAAUCUACUUUUUCGUGGGGGAUAACGUAGGGAAACUUACGCUAAUACCGCAUACGACCUACGGGUGAAAGCAGGGGAUCUUCGGACCUUGCGCGAUUGAAUGAGCCGAUGUCGGAUUAGCUAGUUGGCGGGGUAAAGGCCCACCAAGGCGACGAUCCGUAGCUGGUCUGAGAGGAUGAUCAGCCACACUGGAACUGAGACACGGUCCAGACUCCUACGGGAGGCAGCAGUGGGGAACAUUGGACAAUGGGCGCAAGCCUGAUCCAGCCAUACCGCGUGGGUGAAGAAGGCCUUCGGGUUGUAAAGCCCUUUUGUUGGGAAGGAAAAGCAGCAGGUUAAUACCCCGCUGUUCUGACGGUACCCAAAGAAUAAGCACCGGCUAACUUCGUG